AACCUUAAAGCCCAGGUCACACUACACAACGAUAACGAUACGAUAACUUGUAUACGCGCGCUGAUUGGUCAAAAAUUUAUCGUUAUCGUCCGGCUGAAAAAAAAAUCGCUCAGGUGAGCGAUUUUAAAAUCGUUAUCGUUAUCGUCUAACGAUAAUUUUAUCAUUUUCGUUGUUGUGUGGACACUAACACAAUUUUUUUGCCA
rnacentral:lncRNA from 1 species